UAUUUUCCUCCUCCAAGAAAGGAAACCUGUGGCCUGUGUAUGUUGCAAUCAAUGAAUUGCCAGUUCAGCUAAGGUUUACAAAGAAGUACAUUCUUCCAUGUUAUCUUCACUGCCAGAUAGAAAAGCCAAACAUGCUCACCUAUUUAUCCAACCUGAUGAAAACAAUUGCAGUAUUGAGCAGUGAAGGAAUGGAAGUGAUAACUUGCUUUGGAAAGAGGACAGUGAAGUGUCAACUUCUUGCAUCAUGUCUAGAUUUACCAGCAAAGGCUCUAGUAGCUAACAUGAAACAGUUCAAUGGUAAAUUUGGUUGUGUUAGCUGUUUUGAUGAAGGACAUUCAAA